UCUGUUCCUCCCCCGCUCAUGCUCUGUUUCUCUGUCUCUCGAAAAUGAAUACACGUUAAAAAAAUUAGAAAUAAAAAAAAGUAGAAAUAAGGAAAAGCAAGAGUCGGGGUUAGUUGCGGGUGCUCAGCUGGGUGAUCGGGAGCACAGUGAUGGUGUCGGGAGGGAAAGCACCGGGGGUCUCAGAUACGAUCUCCACGUAUCGACUGGUGCCUCCUGAAGGCAUCCUGUUUCCAGCCCCGUUCCGCGGUGCACUCAGUCCCUUGGUUCAGACAGGCCCGCCUUCCAGCUCUUCUGACCUUCAGAAUCAACCCACGAGCCCAGGGCUCCUCUGACCUGACGGUGUGGGGUCUGUGCCUGCUUCUGUGCUCCCAAAUCUCCCAGGGAAAGACGUAUCCUAAACCCCACUCCACGACAACGUGGCCGCCUCUGACCCCUCCCUGCCCCAUCAUUCUCCCUUCAAAAACUCCUGAGGACGCAGCCCGGCUGCUGUUCAGUGGCUGUCUGCUGAAUGCAUCUUGGGAAGAGGUGAAAAUUGUCCUUUCUGAUUAUAGAAUGGAGAUUCGAUGUGUUCAAGAAACGAGGACACCCUGGAGAGCAUCUGAGCCUUGACUCUGUGACAUCUGUUACCAGCGUGGUCUCAGGCCUUCUGCUGGGCAGAAUGAAUGUCAGCUGCAGGUGGGGUCCUCGCGGAGGCCAAGGACAGAAGGAGGAGACACAGGUGUCGGGGACGCCGGCCCUGGGCUUUACGACUCGACUCUUGGGCCUUCCUUGAGAACUGAGCUCUGGCCUUUGGCUCCAAUCACCUUGGAGAGGAGACCUGGCCCGGGGGCACCGGUGGCCUCUUUCGGGUUGGCAUCCAUGCAAGUACGAGAAGUUGCCCUUGGAGAGGGGGGGCCUCACACAUCGUCCUGUGUCCCCGGCUUGACAUUCUCUGUCCAAACUCCAUCUCAGCGCUCCCCCCGAGCCUCUGCCUCCCCCGGGCGACCCUGGCUGGGCCCACGGAGGAUUCUCUCCCUUUAGGACUAAACUGACUUGAGGCGCUGAACCGACCGGAUCCUCUGGGUGGCGGUUCCUUCCCUGCGCAUCCUAGCAAGGGAGCGUGAGGACGUGAGAGCCCAGGGCUUACCGUGCCGCUUUGGUGCCGGUUCAGGCUCCCGGGUCAUUCCUGUGCCCGUCCCCUCUCUGCGGUCCCCUAUGCUUCCCGUGCCCCUGCACGGGCUGGGACUGGAGUCACUGUCCUUCUGGCUCCCUGUGCUACAACAGAUGGCCUGGGCGCCCCUCCACGGUCGGUCAGCCAGCCAGAGAGCGGCCACCGGUACCUGCUGAUAACUUGUCUGUUCCUUCCCUGCCUUCCGGUCCAAGUUGGAGGACAUAGCCGAGCCUCGAGGGACGCAUUCUGCCGCGUGGUGCUGACCACGUGGGCUUAAUGAAGACAGGUGAGGGUCAGGAGUGAUUGGCACAGAGCGGAUACUCGGCACUAAGUAACUGUCACUGCCGUCACCACCACCACCAUCGUUCAUUACAACUACUUGUCUAUCACCCCUCCAUCUCGCGCGGUCCGGGCCCGGUGUAGACGAUCCCGCCAUCAUAUGGACUCAAUCACUGUGGCCGACAAGUGUGUCUAGAAUCCAAGGCCUCCCCCUCCAGAGCGGAGGAAGAAUGCUUCCUACCUGGAAAGAGAGAAGACCAGCUGUGUCGUCCGUUGGGGGAAGCCCUGAUUUCCGAGGGUCGCUGAGUUCGGGCCAUCAGUGGUCAGUCUGGAGCCGGGAAGAGGUUGGGGAAAAGAGUGACGUGGGACCGCAGGGGCAGAGCUCGGGUCCUGAGAAUGGCCUCACGAGUGCAGUUCCUGUCCUGCAGGAGACGACUCGGGUCAGACCCGGGAGAAGGGGAGAGACGGCUGCUGGUACGUGCUGUGCCCGGCUUGGUGCAGGGGUCUGGUGGGGAAGACCCUGUCACCUUCCACGGACGUCCUGGUGCCAGACAGUAUUGUGACUUUCUUCCCUGUGACCUACACUUGCUUCUGGGUUGCUCCUGGGGGCUCACACAUGGCCAACUUAGUGAUGGCCACAGACAGAUAAUGAUAAAAUGAUUAUAAUGUGUAUCAUGUGCGUGCACACACACACACACACACACACACACGGCAAAGCUUUUACAUUAAAACAAUAGAUGUCUUCCAGAAUAAAGGGAAGCUUGUAUA